AACGAACGCUGGCGGCGUGCUUAACACAUGCAAGUCGAGCGCGAACGUCUCUUCGGAGACUAGUAGAGCGGCGCACGGGUGAGUAACACGUGAGUAUCUACCUUCGGGUUUGGAACAACUUUUAGAAAUGAAAGCUAAUGCCAAAUAAGACCACUUUAGUGGGAAAAGAGGCUUCGGUCUCGCCUGUAGAUGAGCUCGCGGCCCAUUAGCUAGUUGGCGGGGUAAUGGCCCACCAAGGCGAUGAUGGGUAGCUGGUCUGAGAGGAUGAUCAGCCACACUGGGACUGAGACACGGCCCAGACUCCUACGGGAGGCAGCAGUGGGGAAUAUUGCGCAAUGGACGAAAGUCUGACGCAGCAACGCCGCGUGGGUGAUGAAGGCUCUUGGGUCGUAAAGCCCUGUCAGGAGGGAAGAACCGCGAGUGGUAAUGCACUCGUCUGACGGUACCUCCAAAGGAAGCACCGGCUAACUCCG
rnacentral:rRNA from 1 species